rnacentral:lncRNA from 1 species
UGUACAUGGCCGGGUUGGUUCGGGUUUUUCAAAUAUCAAACCAAAUUAUUUAGGUCAGAUUUUUAAAUUUAUAAACCAAACCAAACCAAUAAAACUCGGGUUUUUCAACCUCGGGUUUUUUCGGGUUGUUUCGGGUUUUUCCGGUAAAGUAUUCAUACACAACAUAUAAUCUACUUGUACUUCAAAUAUUUCUUUAGUCCUACCAAAAUACAACUAUCUAAGAUGUUUCUUAAAAAUAUAACACAAUAUGAUAUGAUUAAUGACACUAAA